AACGCUGGCGUCAGGCUUAAGGGAAAAAGUCGAACGGGUGUAGCAAUACACCAGUGGCAGACGGGUUCGCACACGUGGGAACCUGCCCAGAGGUUCGGAAUAGCUGCGGGAAACUGCAGGUAAUACCGGAUGUUGCCUGAGGGCUAAAGGAGCAAUCCGCCUUCGGAGGGGCCCGCGUCCGAUUAGCUAGUUGGUGAGGUAACGGCUCACCAAGGCGACGAUCGGUAGCUGGUCUGAGAGGAUGAUCAGCCACACUGGGACUGAGAUACGGCCCAGACUCCUACGGGAGGCAGCAGUGGG
rnacentral:rRNA from 1 species